rnacentral:lncRNA from 1 species
UUGGGAGGAGUAACUCAAGAAAUCUAGUUGCUUUUAACACCCACUUAAAGAAGAAAGAGAUUGAUGGAUGCGUAUCAACCGAUCAAAAGAAGCGGAUCAAGCUUGCAGUUCCUGAAUAAUCCGUUUGAAGACACUACGUAUACGAAGGUGUUCGUUGGAGGACUUGCAUUCUGGGAGAUCAAAAGGAUAUGGAUUUGUUUGUAUGAAUUGUGGAACAUAUUGGAACGUUUGCGGUUGAUUUGAAAGAAGAAAAACGACAACAAUACACGGAUUGAGGUAUUAUACGCAAUCUGCAGAUGAAAUACGCCAUCGGGGUCACUAUAUUCGCGGUUGAUUUGAAAGAGCAAAAAUGGCCCAAAGAGCCUUUGUUAUAACUUGGGCACUAGUUCUUCUUCACUUGUUCGCAAAGCAAAAAUGGCCCAAAGAGCCUUUGUUAUAACUUGGGCACUAGUUCUUCUUUACUUGUUAUAACUUUGAGCCCAACCCUUACCAACCCAUGAAUUUAAUCUUCCUAUACUAAUAAACAAAAAUCUUUUUUGGACACGUGUUACUCUCUGGUGCCUCCUC